rnacentral:snRNA from 1 species
GUUCUGGCAGGACAUGACUAAAAUUGGAAUGAUACUGAGAAGCACUGCCCCUACACAAGGGUGACACACAAAUUCAUGAAGUAUUCCAUAUUUUU